rnacentral:misc_RNA from 1 species
GCGAGUUAACUAAAAACUCCAAAACCCAAUGUGAACGUACCUUCUGUUGCCUCGGCAGGUCGUGCUGCACGGCCGGAUCGCUACCCUGUAGGAGUAGCUACCCUGGAGUAGCUACCCUGGAGUAGGGAGCGCCUACCCUGCAGCACAUAACCAGGCCUGCCGAAGGACCCCUAAACUCCGUUUUACAACUGUAUCUCUGAGCCUAUUAUAUAAAUAAGUUA